rnacentral:misc_RNA from 1 species
UGAUUGACGUGCAUCGGUAUGUUGGAUCCCUGCUAGGGCAGCGACAAUGUACCUUGCUCGCCACUUCAGUCGUUGGCAGCCUUUGUCGGAUGAUGUUUUCCUGUGUUAUAUUCCAUUGAAAAAGGGCAUUGAAUUUGUUCAAUUGCAUCAGUUCGCUUCUCGUUGCGUCCCCUCGGAUUUUGGCAUGCAGUGAACUUUAAAGCAUUUAUCGUGUUCCACUUUCCUUGCAUGCACGUGCUCGGGUUGUUGGGCCACGAUAGUUGCUCGGUCUCUCGGUUGCGGAACACCUUGUGGGCACGAGGCCGCUAGUCCUCUAUUCGGCCCUUAUCUAGCGUUUAACGCUAUGUUCAAACGACAGUUGUGGCCGUCUUGACUAGACCUUUUACGGCUUGGCUCAUACGGUCCCAACGUCGAUGAGGAAUG